rnacentral:rRNA from 1 species
ACGCUCGACACCUACGGGAGGCAGCAGUGGGGAAUAUUGGGCAAUGGGCGAAAGCCUGACCCAGCAACGCCGCGUGAGGGAAGAAGGUUUUCGGAUUGUAAACCUCUGUCCUUGGUGACGAAGGAAGUGACGGUAGCCAAGGAGGAAGCCCCGGCUAACUACGUGCCACAGCCGCGGUAAUCUGAGCGGGCUGGCAAGGC